UGGCAGUGCCGCUAGCUCAGUCUUUUCUCAAGGCAGAGUACCCCUAAUGCCACAGCUCGCAACAUAAAUAUCGAUAACUUCACGGUCUCACAUUACUAAUCGGUUAUCACUAAUGACAAAAAAAACGUAAUCAAAGCAAAAAUCUACAAAUAUUGACGGGAAAAUGGAUUACAUUUGGUGGCUAUCGGUGACCUAGCCAAGCGCUCCCACCCAACCAUGGGUGCCCUCGAGGCGCUGCAGGGCACCACCCAUUCUCUGUCGGCAGGAGCCCCCUCCUCGCGACUACGACGGUUCCAUCUCCCCCACUGGGAAAGCUUACUCACACAUUGUGGGUAUUACAAAGGUUUAAUAAAUAUCCCUUUAAGACCUAAACCUGGCCGCCGUCUCGGAUAUUUACGCGGUCAAAGCAGAGGAUUUGUUUUGGCUGGAAAAGCGUACAGGCGCCGCGGAAACUAUGCUCUACCAGUCAUGUAUUGGUAGAGCUCGCAUGGAAACGCGGCCCUCAAAGGAACAUGCGCGAUGCGCGUGUGUAUGGUCACCUAAUUCUGAGGAGCUCAAGGGGAAAAGAAGGGACAGGCCAAAAAGGCAAACAACGAGGACAAAUAAGGCUCUCG